rnacentral:rRNA from 1 species
CCUACGGGAGGCUGCAGUGGGGAAUAUUGGACAAUGGGGGCAACCCUGAUCCAGCCAUGCCGCGUGUGUGAAGAAGGCCCUCGGGUUGUAAAGCACUUUCAGUGAGGAAGAACGCCUGGUGGUUAAUACCCAUCAGGAAAGACAUCACUCACAGAAGAAGCACCGGCUAACUCCGUGCCAGCAGCCGCGGUAAUACGGAGGGUGCGAGCGUUAAUCGGAAUUACUGGGCGUAAAGCGCGCGUAGGUGGCUUGAUAAGCCGGUUGUGAAAGCCCCGGGCUCAACCUGGGAACGGCAUCCGGAACUGUCACGCUAGGGUGCAGGAGAGGAAGGUAGAUUUCCGGGUUUGGGGGUAAAUGCGUAGAGAUCGGGAGGAAUACCAGUGGCGAAGGCGGCCUUCUGGACUGACACUGACACUGAGGUGCGAAAGCGUGGGUAGCAAACAGGAUUAGAUACCCUGUAGUC